rnacentral:rRNA from 1 species
UACGGAGGGUGCAAGCGUUAUCCGGAUUUACUGGGUUUAAAGGGUGUGUAGGCGGACUAUUAAGUCAGUGGUGAAAUCCCGAGGCUCAACCUCGGAACUGCCUUUGAUACUAUUAGUCUUGAAUGUUGUUGAGGUGGGCGGAACGGGUCAUGUAGCGGUGAAAUGCAUAGAUAUGACCCGGAACACCGAUUGCGAAGGCAGCCCGCUAAGCAACUAUUGACGCUGAGGCACGAAAGCGUGGGGAUCAA